CCCUUAGAGUUUGAUCCUGGCUCAGGAUGAACGCUGGCGGCGCGCCUAACACAUGCAAGUCGAACGGCACCUAUCUUCGGAUGGAAGCGAGUGGCGAACGGCUGAGUAACACGUGGAGAACCUGCCCCCUCCCCCGGGAUAGCCGCCCGAAAGGACGGGUAAUACCGGAUACCCCGGGGUGCCGCAUGGCACCCCGGCUAAAACCCCGACGGGAGGGGAUGGCUCCGCGGCCCAUCAGGUAGACGGCGGGGUGACGGCCCACCGUGCCGACAACGGGUAGCCGGGUUGAGAGACCGACCGGCCAGAUUGGGACUGAGACACGGCCCAGACUCCUACGGGAGGCAGCAGUGGGGAAUCUUGCGCAAUGGGGGGAACCCUGACGCAGCGACGCCGCGUGCGGGACGGAGGCCUUCGGGUCGUAAACCGCUUUCAGCAGGGAAGAGUCAAGACUGUACCUGCAGAAGAAGCCCCGGCUAACUACGUGCCAGCAGCCGCGGUAAUACGUAGGGGGCGAGCGUUAUCCGGAUUCAUUGGGCGUAAAGCGCGCGUAGGCGGCCCGGCAGGCCGGGGGUCGAAGCGGGGGGCUCAACCCCCCGAAGCCCCCGGAACCUCCGCGGCUUGGGUCCGGUAGGGGAGGGUGGAACACCCGGUGUAGCGGUGGAAUGCGCAGAUAUCGGGUGGAACACCGGUGGCGAAGGCGGCCCUCUGGGCCGAGACCGACGCUGAGGCGCGAAAGCUGGGGGAGCGAACAGGAUUAGAUACCCUGGUAGUCCCAGCCGUAAACGAUGGACGCUAGGUGUGGGGGGACGAUCCCCCCGUGCCGCAGCCAACGCAUUAAGCGUCCCGCCUGGGGAGUACGGCCGCAAG
rnacentral:rRNA from 1 species